AGAGUUUGAUCCUGGCUCAGGAUGAACGCUGGCGGCGUGCUUAACACAUGCAAGUCGAACGAAGCACUUUAUUUGAUUUCCUUCGGGACUGAUUAUUUUGUGACUGAGUGGCGGACGGGUGAGUAACGCGUGGGUAACCUGCCUUGUACAGGGGGAUAACAGUUGGAAACGGCUGCUAAUACCGCAUAAGCGCACAGCAUCGCAUGAUGCAGUGUGAAAAACUCCGGUGGUAUAAGAUGGACCCGCGUUGGAUUAGCUAGUUGGUGAGGUAACGGCCCACCAAGGCGACGAUCCAUAGCCGACCUGAGAGGGUGACCGGCCACAUUGGGACUGAGACACGGCCCAAACUCCUACGGGAGGCAGCAGUGGGGAAUAUUGCACAAUGGGGGAAACCCUGAUGCAGCGACGCCGCGUGGAGGAAGAAGGUCUUCGGAUUGUAAACUCCUGUUGUUGGGGAAGAUAAUGACGGUACCCAACAAGGAAGUGACGGCUAACUACGUGCCAGCAGCCGCGGUAAAACGUAGGUCACAAGCGUUGUCCGGAAUUACUGGGUGUAAAGGGAGCGCAGGCGGGAAGACAAGUUGGAAGUGAAAUCUAUGGGCUCAACCCAUAAACUGCUUUCAAAACUGUUUUUCUUGAGUAGUGCAGAGGUAGGCGGAAUUCCCGGUGUAGCGGUGGAAUGCGUAGAUAUCGGGAGGAACACCAGUGGCGAAGGCGGCCUACUGGGCACCAACUGACGCUGAGGCUCGAAAGUGUGGGUAGCAAACAGGAUUAGAUACCCUGGUAGUCCACACCGUAAACGAUGAUUACUAGGUGUUGGAGGAUUGACCCCUUCAGUGCCGCAGUUAACACAAUAAGUAAUCCACCUGGGGAGUACGACCGCAAGGUUGAAACUCAAAGGAAUUGACGGGGGCCCGCACAAGCAGUGGAGUAUGUGGUUUAAUUCGACGCAACGCGAAGAACCUUACCAAGUCUUGACAUCCCUUGACAGGCAUAGAAAUAUGUUUUCUCUUCGGAGCAAGGAGACAGGUGGUGCAUGGUUGUCGUCAGCUCGUGUCGUGAGAUGUUGGGUUAAGUCC
rnacentral:rRNA from 1 species